rnacentral:rRNA from 1 species
ACGGGGCCCGCACAAGCGGUGGAGCAUGUGGUUUAAUUCGAUGCAACGCGAAGAACCUUACCUGGGCUUGACAUCCCAAGAAUCCCCUGGAAACAGGGGAGUGCCCUUCGGGAGCUUGGAGACAGGUGCUGCAUGGGCUGUCGUCAGCUCGUGUCGUGAGAUGUUGGGUUAAGUCCCGCAACGAGCGCAACCCUUGCCUUUAGUUGCCAUCAUUCAGUUGGGCACUCUAGAGGGACUGCCGGUGUCAAACCGGAGGAAGGUGGGAUGACGUCAAGUCCUCAUGGCCUUUAUGCCCAGGGCUACACACGCGCUACAAUGGGCGGUACAAAGAGCAGCGAGCUCGCGAGAGUAAGCAAAUCUCAAAAAGCCGUCCUCAGUUCGGAUUGGAGUCUGCAACUCGACUCCAUGAAGUUGGAAUCGCUAGUAAUCGCGGAUCAGCAUGCCGCGGUGAAUACGUUCCCGGGCCUU